GAUGAACGCUAGCGGGAGGCCUAACACAUGCAAGCCGAGCGGUAGAGUUUCUUCGGAAACUUGAGAGCGGCGCACGGGUGCGUAACACGUGUGCAACCUACCUUUAUCUGGGGGAUAGCCUUUCGAAAGGAAGAUUAAUACCCCAUAAUAUAAUGAUUGUCAUCAAUUAUUAUUGAAAACUCCGGUGGAUAGAGAUGGGCACGCGCAAGAUUAGAUAGUUGGUGAGGUAACGGCUCACCAAGUCAAUGAUCUUUAGGGGUCCGGAGAGGGAGAUCCCCCACACUGGAACUGAGACACGGACCAGAAUACUACGGGAGGCAGCAGUGAGGAAUAGUAGACAAUGGGUGAGAGCCUGAUCCAGCCAUCCCGCGUGAAGGAGGACGGUGCUAUGGAUUGUAAACUUCUUUUGUACAGGGAUAAACCUACCCUCGGGAGGGUAGCUGAAGGUACUGUACGAAUAAGCACCGGCUAACUCCGUG
rnacentral:rRNA from 1 species